UACAGAGGUCUCAAGCGUUGUUCGGAUUCAUUGGGCGUAAAGGGCUCGUAGGCGGUCUGUUGCGUCGGGAGUGAAAACUUACAGCUUAACUGUGAGCGUGCUUUCGAUACGGGCAGACUUGAGGCAUUCAGGGGAGAACGGAAUUCCUGGUGUAGCGGUGAAAUGCGUAGAUAUCUGGAGGAACACCGGUGGCGAAGGCGGCAUCCUGGACCAACACUGACGCUGAGUGAGCGAAAGCCAGGGGAGCAAACGGG
rnacentral:rRNA from 1 species